GUAAAAAAGAAAAGACCAAAUUGUAGCGCCCCACAGAAUAUAGGGACCUCGCACAUAAAUAUCCCAAUGAUGGGAAACGCGCGUAUCCCCCUGGGUAUGGGUCGGGUCGCGCAAACAGAGGCCCUAUACGGCGCCGUUUUAAUCGCUGGUGAUGCAUCACUUAAACCAAUUUCUAUUAUUUUUUUAUUUUCCCAAACAGAAUACCCCCCCUUUUCAUGUCUCUCAUCUGCUAGGGUUAAAGAACCCAUCCUUGCGCUGCCGUUAUGUCGCCGUAGAGGGCGAUCGGAGUCACGAAAAGGGGGUUUUCAACCUCUAUUUUUAAAGUGCCCGAAAAUCGCGUUUCCUUAACCCCCAAAAGCACGAGAGAACAGACUCCCCAUUUUCCUUUUUUGAAGCCGAUUCCAACGACGGAGUAGGGCUCCGAUGUUGCGGCUCCGAGGUUCGGGUUCUGAGGGUCAACGAGGCAAAAGCUUGCCAUUUUGGUGUAACCGGUGUCAGGGGGGCCGUCCCUUGAGCGGAGCGCGCGCAAAGGACGCACAUGGAGGCUGCAGCGCCUAGGGCUUCCUUGGCUGAAGGUGCUCAAGCUGCGGGCCAUUCUUUGGGCUAGGGUUUUUUAUUUUUGGGCCUCUUUUAAUGUAAAUGGACUAUUAAUAUAUUAUUUUUUAUUUUGAUUUUAGUUUCUAAUGGGCCCGGGCAGUUUUGGCCCAUUACACAGAGCAUGCUUAAAAGGAAAGUACAACCGUCAUUCGGUUACAGCUACGUGUCAAAACACCUCGUUUUGAAACUAAGCCUUCCACCUAAAACACAGCGUUUUCAUUAAAAGGACUCCCUUCCCCAAAA